UACGAAGGGUGCAAGCGUUACUCGGAAUUACUGGGCGUAAAGCGCACGUAGGUGGUUUGUUAAGCUAGCUGUGAAAUCCCCGGGCUCAACCUGGGCACUGCAGUUAGAACUGGCAAGCUAGAGUAGGGUAGAGGGGUGUGGAAUUCCAGGUGUAGCGGUGAAAUGCGUAGAUAUCUGGAGGAACAUCAGUGGCGAAGGCGACACCCUGGACUCAUACUGACACUGAGGUGCGAAAGCGUGGGGAGCAAACAGG
rnacentral:rRNA from 1 species